GACGAACGCUGGCGGCGUGCCUAAUACAUGCAAGUCGAGCGAAUCUUUGGGAGCUUGCUCCCAAAGAUUAGCGGCGGACGGGUGAGUAACACGUGGGUAACCUGCCUGUAAGACUGGGAUAACUUCGGGAAACCGGAGCUAAUACCGGAUAAUUCACAUCUACUCAUGUAGAUGUGCUGAAAGACGGUUUACGCUGUCACUUAUAGAUGGGCCCGCGGCGCAUUAGCUAGUUGGUGAGGUAACGGCUCACCAAGGCCACGAUGCGUAGCCGACCUGAGAGGGUGAUCGGCCACACUGGGACUGAGACACGGCCCAGACUCCUACGGGAGGCUG
rnacentral:rRNA from 1 species